UCAAUCAAUCUGUAAUUCAUAUGAAAUUAGAAAGUCUCUCAACAAUUCAAUAUAUUUCGAAUAAUAAUUUUAUAUAAAUUAUGAGCUAAGACUAAUAAAAAUAAUUCAUUGACUAUAAUAUUCUAAAUUUCGUUUCUCAAAUCACGCCACCAACACGAAUGGGUAAUAAAAUGGGCACACGUUUCGCAUCCGACAAGAAACAUGUUGAGGCGACGAUGGCCUUCAAAAUGAACGAGAAACACACAAACAAAUGCGGAAAACAAUAGCUAAUAUGCGAUUGUACUAGAGUCUAUAUCGCUCUCAGUAGAACACCCACAACUCAAGCUGACGUCGAGUUCGACAACGACUUUGACUUCGGGUUCGACUGAGAUCAUAAAAAUGCCGCAAACGUUUGGACUUUGGCAUUAGACAAUGUGUCGUACCGAAUCUAGCCGAUAAGUAACUGACAUUUAUAUUAUAACGUUGCUCGAGCCCCAAAGCGGCCCAAGUAUUUGCCAAGAAUUUCCUGUAAAUUUCUUCAUAUUCAUUGUCGUAUAUUUUAAUCUUAUCAUUUUAUGUACCAGUCGUGUUUUCGAUAAUAUCGACACCUAUGAAAUGCUUAUGUAAAUUUCAUAUAAAUGGCAUUUUCCUUUCUGAUCAUCAA